rfam:Schistosoma mansoni strain Puerto Rico chromosome 4, complete genome
AUCCAACUGACGAGUCCCAAAUGGGACGAGAUGUACGUCUUGGAU